CGUAGGUGAACCUGCGGAAGGAUCAUUAAUGAAAUUAUAAUCCGGCGAGGGGAAAGGCGGAGAGUUGUAGCUGGCCUCCAGGGGCAUGUGCACGCUCUCUUCCGGACCUUUCGCCGUAUGGGCGCGGGGCGACCCGCGUCUUCAUAUACCUCUUCGUGUAGAAAGUCUUUGAAUGUUUUACCAUCAUCGAGUCGCGACUUCUAGGAGACGCGAUUCUUUGAGAAAAAAGUUAUUACAACUUUCAGCAACGGAUCUCUUGGCUCUCGCAUCGAUGAAGAACGCAGCGAAUCGCGAUAUGUAAUGUGAAUUGCAGAUCUACAGUGAAUCAUCGAAUCUUUGAACGCACCUUGCGCUCCUCGGUGUUCCGAGGAGCAUGCCUGUUUGAGUGUCAGUAAAUUCUCAACCCCUCUCGAUUUGCUUCGAGCGGGUGCUUGGAUGUUGGGGGCUGCCGGAGACACUGGAUUCGUCCAGGACUCGGGCUCCUCUUAAAUGAAUCGGCUCGCGGUCGACUUUCGACUUUGCAUGACAAGGCCUUUGGCGUGAUAAUGAUCGCCGUUCGCCGAAGUGCAAGACAGAAUGGUCCCGUGCCUCUAAUGCGUCGACGCCUCUAGGGGCGUCUUCCUCAUUGACGUUUGACCUCAAAUCAGGUAGGACUACCCGCUGAACUUUAAGCAUAUCAUA
rnacentral:rRNA from 1 species